rnacentral:rRNA from 1 species
GGCCUACGGGGGGCAGCAGUGGGGAAUAUUGCACAAUGGGGGAAACCCUGAUGCAGCGACGCCGCGUGAGUGAAGAAGUAUUUCGGUAUGUAAAGCUCUAUCAGCAGGGAAGAUAAUGACGGUACCUUAGGAGGAAGCUCCGGCUAACUACGUGCCAGCAGCCGCGGUAAUACGUAGGGAGCGAGCGUUGUCCGGAAUUACUGGGUGUAAAGGGAGUGUAGGCGGGAUGGUAAGUUAGGUGUGAAAUGCGGAGGCUCAACCUCCG